AACGAACGCUGGCGGCAGGCUUAACACAUGCAAGUCGAACGCCCCGCCAGGGGAGUGGCAGACGGGUGAGUAACGCGUGGGAACAUACCCUUUCCUGCGGAAUAGCUCCGGGAAACUGGAAUUAAUACCGCAUACGCCCUACGGGGGAAAGAUUUAUCGGGGAAGGAUUGGCCCGCGUUGGAUUAGCUAGUUGGUGGGGUAAAGGCCUACCAAGGCGACGAUCCAUAGCUGGUCUGAGGGGAUGAUCAGCCACAUUGGGACUGGGACACGGCCCAAACUCCUACGGGAGGCAGCAGUGGGGAAUAUUGGACAAUGGGCGCAAGCCUGAUCCAGCCAUGCCGCGUGAGUGAUGAAGGCCUUAGGGUUGUAAAGCUCUUUCACCGAUGAAGAUAAUGACGGUAGUCGGAGAAGAAGCCCCGGCUAACUUCGUG
rnacentral:rRNA from 1 species